rnacentral:rRNA from 1 species
GACAGAGGUGCCGAGCGUUAGGCGGAAUCACUGGGCUUAAAGCGUGUGUAGGCGGGCCGUUAAGUAUCUUGUGAAAUCCCCCGGCUCAACCGGGGAAUGGCUGGAUAUACUGGCGGUCUUGAGCGAUCUAGGGGCAGAUGGAACAAGUGGUGGAGCGGUGAAAUGCGUAGAUAUCACUUGGAACGCCAAAGGUGAAAACAGUCUGCUGGGGAUCUGCUGACGCUGAGACACGAAAGCCAGGGGAGCAAACGGG